rnacentral:rRNA from 1 species
UACGUAGGGUGCAAGCGUUGUCCGGAAUUAUUGGGCGUAAAGAGCUCGUAGGCGGUCUGUCACGUCGGGUGUGAAAGCCCGGGGCUCAACCCCGGGUCUGCACUCGAUACGGGCAGACUUGAGUUCGGCAGGGGAGACUGGAAUUCCUGGUGUAGCGGUGAAAUGCGCAGAUAUCAGGAGGAACACCGGUGGCGAAGGCGGGUCUCUGGGCCGAUACUGACGCUGAGGAGCGAAAGCGUGGGGAG